rnacentral:rRNA from 1 species
UGUCGAACUCCAUUGGAGUCCGAACUCUCACUUUCUAACCCUGUGCACUUGUUUGGGAUAGUAACUCUCGCAAGAGAGCGAACUCCUAUUCACUUAUAAACACAAAGUCUAUGAAUGUAUUAAAUUUUAUAACAAAAUAAAACUUUCAACAACGGAUCUCUUGGCUCUCGCAUCGAUGAAGAACGCAGCGAAAUGCGAUAAGUAAUGUGAAUUGCAGAAUUCAGUGAAUCAUCGAAUCUUUGAACGCACCUUGCGCUCCAUGGUAUUCCGUGGAGCAUGCCUGUUUGAGUGUCAUGAAUACUUCAACCCUCCUCUUUCUUAAUGAUUGAAGAGGUGUUUGGUUUCUGAGCGCUGCUGGCCUUUACGGUCUAGCUCGUUCGUAAUGCAUUAGCAUCCGCCAUCGAACUUCGGAUUGACUUGGCGUAAUAGACUAUUCGCUGAGGAAUUCUAGUCUUCGGAUUAGAGCCGGGAUGGGUUAAAGGAAGCUUCUAAUCAGAAUGUCUACAUUUUAAGAUUAGAUCUCAAAUUAGGAGGACUACCCGCUGAACUUAAGCAUAUCAAUAAGCGGAGGAA